rnacentral:rRNA from 1 species
UACGUAGGGUGCAAGCGUUAAUCGGAAUUACUGGGCGUAAAGCGUGCGCAGGCGGUUGUGCAAGACAGAUGUGAAAUCCCCGGGCUUAACCUGGGAAUUGCAUUUGUGACUGCACGGCUAGAGUGUGUCAGAGGGGGGUAGAAUUCCACGUGUAGCAGUGAAAUGCGUAGAUAUGUGGAGGAAUACCGAUGGCGAAGGCAGCCCCCUGGGAUAACACUGACGCCUCAUGCACGAAAGCGUGGGGAGCAAACAGG